AUGACGGACGGCGGAAGUAAAGCGCGAAAACUGGACGGUAAGCCAGCAAAUCUCGUAGUUUGUAAUUUUUCCUUCUCUCGUGGUGGAAAAUAUGGUGAUUUCUUGCUGUGCGGUGGGCUGUGCCAACAGGCAAGGUUAUAAAGCUAAUUUAGCUUUUUAUCGUGUUCCUCUUGAUGCCGAGAGAAGACGGCGAUGGGUAGCUGCAAUCAAUAGAAAGGACUGGCAGCCCUCAAAAUACUCCCGGAUUUGCAGCGAGCAUUUCUUACAAGGACAGAAGAGCGAUGACCCUUUGUCACCUGACUAUGUGCCAUUGGUUUUUGCGCACACCAGUUCCCCUAAGAAGAGGCGAGCCCUGGGAACUCUACAGAAGUAUGAAGUGAGAGAGGCCAUGAAAAAAAAAAAAAGAGGAAGGAGUCAUCCAAACAUGAACCUGCCAGAGCACUCCUCAAUCUCUCAGCUGAGAAUGAUGGGCCAGUGGUAGAAGAGGAGACUGAAGAUGAGGCUAGUGUCAGUGAUAAUUCAAAAUGUGAUG